AGUCAGUUUAUCAAGCCUGAUUUGUAGCGACCCGAUAGUUACUUCGUGUAUGAUGAAAUCAAUACAUCUUAACGUUCUUAUUGCUUGACUCAGCAGAUUCUUCUGAGUGCUCUCCUAUUGAAACUGGUGCACCUAGGUAACUUAGGUUUUUCGAAACCUAAUUUUUUCACUUUUGGGAACACUUUGAAAAAAUGAAAUCGGUUAAUUUGUUACUGAAAACCUAAAAAAAUUUAUAAUGAGAGUCAGCUCGUAAAUAGUGUGCAGAAACAGUAUUCAAGAUUACGAAACGAUAUUGGUGGCAUAACUUAAAAGUUUUGAAAAUUUAUCUAAAACGUACACAAAGACAAGUAUAAAAAUACUCAUAACUUCGUCAAUUUUAUCCCAAUUGAUCGGCAGUGGCUGAAAGAAGGAGUGAUUGGCGCCUAAUUGUGACCAUAGUGAAGGACUUUCCAAUGGCGCUCACACCGAAGAGUUGAACUUUAAAAUGUCUUUAAAAGUUCAAACGAUGUCAAAUCAUUUCUUAAUUUCGAGGAUAUCAUCAAAACAUUAAAUAAAAUAUCUUUGAAUGUGAAAGAGAAAGAUAUGUAAUCUUUAGAACAAAAGGCAACAAAACAAUGAAGCAUAAAAGCAAAUAAAAAGCGCAAUCUAUUUAGAUAUGCAAUUUUUACCAUUUCGUAAAAAUUUUGCAAAAUCUGAAAUGGAAAUAAAUUUUUUAUUUCUCUGCAAGAGUGUGUUGUAAAGCAAAAUGCAAUAAAAUUAUAAAAAAUAAUAUAAUAUAGUA